AUAAACAUCUUUAGUCAUGUAUAAAGGUUAACACGUUCAGACUUUUAGAAAAAUUGUUUUUCAAAGGAACCUUUUGAAAGCUAUAUAUGCAAUAAUCAAAAUGCUAGAGACAAGAGGGCCUCGGCAGGAAACUUUGCUGUGUUACAAAUGACACCCUGUUAAGAGUAUGAAUGCAAGAAGAUGCUUUAAACAAUCAAAGAAAGUUGAAAUUUUUAUCUUGAACCCGAGAAAGCUCGAACUGAAUCCAAAGCUAAAAAAGGAAUGUCUAAUUAAAUUUAACUGCGGGAAAUUUGGCAAACCAAAAUAAAAAAGAACGAAUUUAAGUAGAAGUCUGUUACUAAUAAACAUCUUCUUAAUGAAAUAUUUUCCAUUUUACUAAUUAUACAAAACCACAAUGACAUCAAGACAAAAUUGACAAACCUCAAAAAUGACACUAAGUGGCGCUACAUUUGACGUGUUUGUUAAUGUUUAUACGCCAAGACACUGAAAAAGCAUGUUUCCUACUAAGCAAAAUUAUUUCAAAUAUUUUUCAUAUAAUUUAAUUGUAGGAAAACCUAAAUUUAAGUCGAAAGAGUUAAGAUGAUGGCAGCAUCAACUAUGAUCGAAUUCUUUUUUUCUAAAUUUUACCUUGAAAAUAACAGGCCGACGUCAGAACUGGCCUUUAUCAGCUCAAACGAAUUUUCUUUUUGUUUAAAAUAUAACACAAGCAUAAGAUUAAAUCAACAUUCUGUUUUAAAUCUGCAAGGCCUUGCACCAACCACAGUUUAUCGAGGUAAAUUAAUACCAAGAUUUUACGUUGUUUGGAUCUGAAAGAUCUCAGCAAAUUAUGGAGGAUAAAGAGGGCAUUCGUAUACACACCUGAGUUUAAUCCUAUAACAUUCUCCAUCUUUUAGUCAAUAAAUGACUUGAUAGCAAAACCAAACAAACGAAUAUUAUUUUUGCACUAAAAUGUAGACAAAAAAUAUAAUGCAUAUCUCUUUUUGAGUCUCUAGGGCUAGCCUCGUUAUCAUUAUCUCUUUGGAGCGAAGAUUUGAAUCACGUCAGCAAAUUAAAAAGUGGCCUAAAUAAAGUCUCUUGGAAUCUGUUCUUCUUCUUCGCUGCUUUCUGUUUAGCAAUUGCCUCCAUUGGCAAGGAUGCUUUUGCAAAAUUAAGAGACACUGACGUGGACAUCAGCGGUUGAUUGAAGCUUAGUACAUAAGCUAAAUAUGUUGAAUUCCUUUAACGUUGGAACUUUAUGUAAUAGAUUGUACCAACCUACCUUCUAAAAGGUUUUUGACAGGGUGACCAAUGACAUCUACAGGUUGACCCCAAGCAUACCAUAACAACUUGCCAUCUUAAUGCCAAGAAGGAAACAAACCUGGUUAAUAUUUUACAUGGCAAUCAGAAGAAGGAAAUCUUUGUUUGAUUUAAAGGUAUGAAAUGUCUGUUAUAUCUAUUCUUUAUUAGAUAUGAUAAUUCAUAAAGAGUUUUUUCUACUUUGAAAAAACACUUCAUCAAAAAACACCUGCCUGCCAAAUUUUUAAAAAAAUUCUAUAAAAAUUUAACUGAUCCGAUUUAAGCAAUGCAUAAAUUUUGAGGGAAAGCUGAAUCUUAGAAAAUCAUAAUGCUAGAAUUACUUAUGGUAGAAUCUAAUGCAAAAAACCUGUUUACCUGCAUGAACUAGCCUGUUUACCGACCCUUGGGUAGACAGGCAACAUGGGUAACAUGUCUGAGAACUGUCAAGUGCCUGGUUUUUACAGUUUACUUUUAAUACAUGAUUUUCAUUUCAUACACAUUUCAGAUACAAUUUCAUAGACAAAUACAUUCAUGAACACAUAUCUCAAAUUAAACUUUAUAACUUUAUGAAAUCAUACCUGAAUA